rnacentral:rRNA from 1 species
AUUGAACGCUGGCGGCAGGCCUAACACAUGCAAGUCGAACGAGUGGCGGACGGGUGAGUAAUGUCUGGGAAACUGCCCGAUGGAGGGGGAUAACUACUGGAAACGGUAGCUAAUACCGCAUACCAUCGGAUGUGCCCAGAUGUGAUUAGCUAGUUGGUGGGGUAACGGCUAACCUAGGCGACGAUCCCUAGCUGGUCUGAGAGGGUGACCAGCCACCCGGGCACUGAGCCACGGUCCAGACUCCUACGGAAGGCGGCAGUGGGUAAUAUUGCACAAUGGGCGCAAGCCUGAUGCAGCCAUGCCGCGUGUAUGAAGAAGGCCUUCGGGUUGUAAAGUCCUUUUAGCGAGGAGGCGUUACUCGCAGAAGAAGCACCGGCUAACUCCGUGCCAGCAGCCGCGGUAAUAC